GGUGCGAGCGUUAAUCGGAAUUACUGGGCGUAAAGCGUGCGCAGGCGGUUUUGUAAGACAGAUGUGAAAUCCCCGGGCUUAACCUGGGAACUGCGUUUGUGACUGCAAGGCUAGAGUACGGCAGAGGGGGGUGGAAUUCCUGGUGUAGCAGUGAAAUGCGUAGAUAUCAGGAGGAACACCGAUGGCGAAGGCAGCCCCCUGGGCCUGUACUGACGCUCAUGCACGAAAGCGUGGGGAGC
rnacentral:rRNA from 1 species